rnacentral:rRNA from 1 species
GCUCAGGACGAACGCUGGCGGCGCGCCUAACACAUGCAAGUCGAACGAGCGAGAGAGAGCUUGCUUUCUCGAGCGAGUGGCGAACGGGUGAGUAACGCGUGAGGAAUCUGCCUCAAAGAGGGGGACAACAAUUGGAAACGACUGCUAAUACCGCAUAAGCCCACGGUGCCGCAUGGCACAGAGGGAAAAGGAGUAAUCCGCUUUGAGAUGGCCUCGCGUCCGAUUAGCUAGUUGGUGAGGUAACGGCCCACCAAGGCGACGAUCGGUAGCCGGACUGAGAGGUUGAACGGCCACAUUGGGACUGAGACACGGCCCAGACUCCUACGGGAGGCAGCAGUA